AAUGGGUAUUACCCAUGAAUAGGUAUUUAAUUAUGGACCGUUAGAUUUAAUCAAAUGGAUGAUAUUUUAAGUUAUUAAUAAUUUUUUAAAAAUUAAUAUUUUUUAUUUUGACCUGUGACCUGAUGACAUGGCAGUCAUCUUAUUUUUCAAACUCCAUUUUUUCCCUUCUCAUUCUCAAGUGAAUAUAUUAUAAUUAAAAAAAUCAAAUCCCUAAUACUCACAAAUCCACUGUAAGCAUAAUGGAGGAAGAACAGAAAAAGAGAAAGAAAAUCAAAUUAUUAUCAAUGUGGCAAUUGUCUUUCGGAAGAAUCAAUAUUAUCAAUUUUCCCAUCUACCUCCUUUUUCUCCUUCAUCCACCAAAACGUCUUCCUGUCCUUCUACUCAGAGUAAAACUCAUCAGACCAAAGGAGAACAGAAGGGCAUUGAGGGGGGAACCAAACGACUAGUGUACAAGCAGGGCAUCGAAUGGUUUGAGGGAAGCGUUGGGGAAGUUUAAGGAGACAAAUUGAGUACCCGAGGAUUGCGUCGCUGUCGUAGUUUUGUAAGCAAACUGGGCAUUUCGGUAGCUCCAUCAUCACCGACCACCACCACGACCCUCUUUCGUCAUUCAAUUAAAAUUUAGUGAUUCUGAAUUCGGGUUAAUGAAUUCUUUCACUCGCCUCCACAUCCGCCGCUCCUCGCGACUGCGAUCGACCACCAAUGGCUUUUACGGCUUUAAUCCUUGAAACCCUACAAUAUUUCAACGAUGAUGGUUCCAGACUCAAAAUCUCACCAACAGUGGUAUGUGCGACUUCGAUCCUUGAAACUAAAAGGAUUUCACCAACAUAUAAGUAUUAUGUAUAUUGGUGAUUCCCUUUGCCUUUGCCACUGGCAAAAUGAUUAGAGGUAUAUGCCAUUUUUUUUUUUUUUAUGAAUGUUUGCCAUUUUCUUUUCUAUACUUCAGUGAUUAGAUUUUCAUUUGAGUUUCAGGACUUUUUCAUUUAUUUGAAAAUGCUUUACUAUAUGAGGAUUGUGAUGGUGUUCAUGAUUGUUGAGGUGAUAAUAUAUGUAUUUUCUUCAUAAUUUUCAAUUUUUUGUAAAUUAUUUCUAUUGUAGUAAUAGUCUUUCAUUGCCUUUUAUCCUUUGAAUAAUAAAAACUUUGAAUAUGGAUUGUUCAGGUUCACACUUCAUUUAUCUGCUUCUUCCAUUCAUACUGAUAUUGAUUUUGAUAUGAUUUUUCUUUAGGAUGGACUUGUUUCACAGCGACCCAUGUCAACUUUCUUCAGAUUUGGAAAUUUAGAAUCUGGGUUUUUUAAUUUGUUGCAAAAUUAUCCAAUAUAGGUUAUGAUGCCACUAAAUUUGUAAAUUAUUGGAUGAAUUUUUAAUUUUCUCUUAAUUAUUGCUAUUAUGUUUUUGUGUUUGUUGGGGAAUAACUUCCAUGGUUGUUCUUUAUCGUGUUUCAAGAUGGAUUGGAUGUAAUUAGAAUAUUUAUGAUCAACAUUCUUCUACUAUAUAUCUUUGCCAAAGUAUCAUUUUUUUUCUUUUUGGUUUUUGCUUUCUUUAGAUGGAAACUAAGAAGGUGAAAGUUUCCUUUAGUUUUUGAUUACUCAUUUCUGUAUCACCCACUAACUAGUAUUGUUUGUUUUAUAGAGGGAGCAAGAGAAGAAUCACUUCUUUUGGUUUUAUGAGAUUUGUUUCUGUAUUAGCCACAAUGAUAUUUUUCCAAUAUAGAUUGUUGGAUAAGAGUCAUUAGACAUAAUUUUUUUUAGUGCAAUUGGCCGCACUAAUGGUCUUUCUAUCAUUUCACGGGGAACAAUAUCGUCGUCCUCACAAGUGAUUUCGCUUGUUGUCACUGAAAGUUGAAGAUCACCAUUGUCAUAGAUUGUUGUCCUUUCAAAAUAUAAAGUCCAAAACCAGUAUUCAUAAAAGCAAAAAAGAAACGUGUGCCUUAAAACAUAAAUAAAAUUCCAAAAAGAUACAUUUGUAACUAGAUAAGAAAAAAGUAUGAACAGUUCUUCACGUAUUGUUUCCAUAUUCAUAGUUUGGUCACGUGAAUACAUGAUAUGAUUUUUAAAGGCAAAUUCCCAACAUUUUCUUUCAAAUGAAUAGUGCUUGUUUCAAUCUUAGUGAAACUGGUUUUCUGAAAAUGUGAGGUUAAGAAAAAGUUUCGGUCCCCUAAGCAUUUUACUGAUAGUAUAACGACAUUAGUCUUUUGUAUCAUCUGAUUUCAAUUGUAAUUCAAAAUGUCUCAUAAGCCCUCAGAGACAAAUUUAGAGACCCCAUUAACCACAAAGUUGGGUUGGCAACCAAAGGUACCUACGAACAACCAAUAGUACAAAAAUCCUUGUAAGAGGAAAAAAUUAUUAUAGCUACUAACAUUUUCCCUUCUAGAUGUAGCUAUGAAUUUGAAAUGGAUGACGGAUUUUGUUACAAACUAUUUUUAUACAACACAAAUCAUAAAAGUACAAAGAUGUCCCAAGCGAGCUUCCUAGAUUUCUUGCUAUACAACAAAGUUGCACUAACAAAUACUAGACGAGUCUAAA